AUUUUGUAAAUUAAUUAAAAUAACCUAAUAAGACAAAUGAUAAAAGCUAUCAUUUUUUUUCAUUCUUUCUUCUUCAACCGUGGGAAAGAACAGAAAAUAGCAGCCAUGGAUGAGCUCCAUUCGGCCAAGCUUUUAUGGCUUAUAUAGAUGAUGAAAAUUGAGACUUGGACCUAGAACGGAAAGAAAUCGAUUUAUGGACGAGUAUGUCCUUUUCACAUUUGUGGUAUCGAGAGUUCCAGGUUAGCUCGGGUUGGAGGCCGUCAGAGAUAUUAUCACCCUAUCGAGUUAACGUUAUCGGAGUAAGUAAACUCAAGUGAUUCGAGUCUAUGGCAUGUAUAGGGUUUUAAUGUGAGUAUGUAAUAUUAUGAUUUAGCCAAAGGCAUUGGCUUGUUAUUAAGGUAGUAUUAGUCAUGUAAAUUGGCCUAUGUCGGCUAAUGACGUUAUGGGCCCAUAUGAUUAUUCUUAUGCAUUUAUGUUAUUAUUUCUUGUGAUGUGGCUUACAACAUGUAUGCCUAGAGAUUGAAUUGAGAUUCAUUGAUGAGCUAGUAACUAAUGCAGGAUUAAGUGAUUGGUAAAUAGUUAAUAA